rnacentral:tmRNA from 1 species
GGGGUCGACUGGUUUUGACAGCGGGUGGAAUUGGAAAGUAAGCACGUCGAGAACUGGGACAAUUCUCGUUAAUAAAAGGUUUCAAAAUUUUACACGGCGAAAAUAAUUACGCUUUAGCUGCUUAAUCUGAAUUAUAGUAAGAUUUGCCUAGUUCCUACCAGGUAGGAAAGCUAGAUUCUCCUCAGAAGCCUUGGUUUAUGGCGUCUGGUUUAGGGGAACCGUAAAAGUAAACCUAGGAAAGGUAAUGUUCUGAAUCCUUUCUGACACUUAUAGAGCUAAGCAAAAAGUGGCGGUUUCCGGCCUUGCUUUUUGUCGAAAACCUAAUCGGAAACUAAGCGUGUAGAAAGCUCUUCGAUUGCUCGUUUGGACGAGAGUUCGAUUCUCUCCGACUCCACAU